rnacentral:rRNA from 1 species
AACUCGACUGCACGAAGUCGGAAUUGCUAGUAAUCGCGGAUCAGCAUGCCGCGGUGAAUACGUUCCCGGGCCUUGUACACACCGCCCGUCACACCAUGAGAGUCGGGAACACCCGAAGUCGGUAGUCUAACCUCGUGAGGACGCCGCCGAAGGUGGGCUUGAUAAUUGGGGUGAAGUCGUAACAAGGUAUC